rnacentral:rRNA from 1 species
GACGAACGCUGGCGGCGUGCUUAACACAUGCAAGUCGAACGAAGUGGCGAACGGGUGAGUAACGCGUAAUCAACCUGCCCUUAAGAGGGGGACAACAGGUGGAAAGGACUGCUAAUACGGCAUAACGAAGGUGGGGAUUGCGUCUGAUUAGCUAGUUGGAGGGGUAACGGCCCACCAAGGCGAUGAUCAGUAGCCGGUCUGAGAGGAUGAACGGCCAGCGUGGGACUGAGACACGGCCCAGACUCCUACGGGAGGCAGCAGUGGGGAAUCUUCCGCAAUGGACGAAAGGCUGACGGAGCAACGCCGCGUGCGUGAUGACGGCCUGCGGGGUGUAAAGCUCUGUUAAUCGGGACGCGGUACCGGAAUAGAAAGCCACGGCUAACUACGUGCCAGCAGCCGCGGUAAUAC